GUGAAGCGAAGAAAGAAAUAGUGAAAGUGAUAACAGUUCAAGAGACUAGUAAGCGCCACGUGUCAAUAUAACAUUUGCUUAGACUGUAAAAUUCCUCAAUGAGAUUCUCUCCGUGUCGUUUGCACCUUUUAUAAAUCUUGCACUCGUUGUCUUCCUCUUCCCCCAACCUUCAAAUUUCUCUCCCCAUUCUCUAAUAAGUAAACUCGUAACCUUUAAUCAAAGGCUUUACAAGCAUCAUCACGGCAACAAACCCUUGAAUCCGAAAUUGAGUUUGUGAAAUUUGGAUAAUCGAGAAUGAAAGGGGGUUUGCUUGUGGACGAUGAAUUCAUACAAAGAGAAGAGAAGAACCUGACUGUUCGCAAAACUUCUCUCUUUUUCGCCGGAGAUGGUUUCACGGUUUACGACUGCAAGGGCACUUUGGUCUUUCGGGUGGACUCAUACGGUGGUCCCAACACCCGCGACACCGACGAGGUUGUCCUCAUGGACGCUCACGGUCGU
rnacentral:lncRNA from 1 species